rnacentral:rRNA from 1 species
UUGGAGGGCAAGUCUGGUGCCAGCAGCCGCGGUAAUUCCAGCUCCAAUAGCGUAUAUUAAAGUUGUUGCAGUUAAAAAGCUCGUAGUUGAAUUUCGGGAUUGACGUGACGGUCAUGCCUUAAGGGGUAUGAACUGUUACAGUUGAUUUCUCACCUUCUGGAGAAACUUGAUGUCCUUUAUUGGGUGUCUUGCGGAUCCAGGACCUUUACCUUGAAAAAAUUAGAGUGUUUAAAGCAGGCAUUUUUGCUCGAAUACAUUAGCAUGGAAUAAUAGAAUAGGACGGCAUGGUUCUAUUUUGUUGGUUUCUAGGACCACCGUAAUGAUUAGUAGGGAUAGUUGGGGGCAUUAGUAUUCAAUUGUCAGAGGUGAAAUUCUUGGAUUUAUUGAAGACUAACUACUGCGAAGGCAUUUGCCAAGGAUGUUUUCAUUAAUCAAGAACGAAAGUUAGGGGAUCGAAGACGAUCAGAUACCGUCGUAGUCUUAACCAUAAACUAUGCCGACUAGGAAUCAGACGAUGUUAAUUUUUUAAUGACUCGUUUGGCACCUUACGGGAAACCAAAGUGUUUGGGUUC